CCACGGCGUUGACCGAGAACAGGCCGCAUCAUUGGUGCAACUUAUUUCGUACUGAACUUUGAUGCUUGUGAAGAUGAUUACGAUCAUAGAACCAAUUCUGAUGGCUGAGGGCUCACCCGCCUCAUCUUCCAGUCACACAACUUCCGCCGGCUGCAGGAGAUUGUGACGGCUUGCCCCACCGGAACGUCACGUUUGACACCGAAGCGGUUUCUGGAGACUUCCACCGUUGGACGAUUGCCGAUUGCGAGCUGGCAAGAGAUUAGACCUGGAAGUUGAAACUGUCCCGCCCGUGAACACCCUCUAUGGAAUUGUCGCUCGGCGUCAUGUAUUGGACAUGAAGUGCCUUUCGGGCAUGGCCUGGAAGAAGGUGCCCAAAAUUGCGACCCUGAAUAAGAUUUUGUGAUUGAUAUUGGGAGUCGUGACAAAUGAUCUAAAUAAAAAUAAAAAAUGC